GUGCCUCAAACUAAUGAGUAAGGAAAACCAAUUCGCCUUGCUAAUCGCUCGGCAGUUUGGCUUCUAAAAGGCAAUGGAAUGCCGUUGGAUGUUGGGAGGGGAGACUCUCCCUUCCCCUCGUCCACGGCAUUUCUU
rnacentral:snRNA from 1 species